rnacentral:lncRNA from 1 species
AAGUGGAUAAGAAUGAAGGAAAAGAGAGUUAGUAGAUAAGAGAGAAUGAGAGAUAUCAGAAAGAAAAAGAAAGGGGAGAGAUAAGAACAAGAAAAAAGAAGAAGAAAGAAGAAGAGAGAAAGAGGAAAGAAGAGCUUGGAGGAAAAAGAAGAAAAAACCAUGGAGGAUCAUCAUCAUCAUCACUAACUUCAUCUUCAAGGUGAGUUCUUAGAUAGAUUAGCCUUUGGG